CGCGAGUCAUCUUUGUCAGGGGCGACACCGCGUUCUGUUCACAAUAUGAAUGUAGAGGAUGCUCUGACAAAAUGAAAGUCAAGUGUCACCAUAAUAACUUGUUGCAGCCCCUGGUUGUCAUUGGCCUACGCAAGACUGUAGUGUUGCUGCUUCACUCUUCUUGGCAAAGGAGCUUUUUUGGGAGGAAGAGGAGGAUGGCUUCAGUCCCAGUCCCAGUCCCAGACCACCUGCCCAGAGCCCCAGCCGCCUCCUAAGCUGCUUAGACCAGAACCAGCACCAGGACAUCUUAAAAGGGCAAUUGCUCUGUCGCUAGUUUGGAGUUUA